GUACACGCUGUGACUAGCAUAUCAAUAAGCGGAGGAAAAGAAACUAACAAGGAUUCCCUUAGUAACGGCGAGUGAAGCGGGAAGAGCUCAAAUUUGAAAUCUUCAAGGUUUUACCUUGACGAAUUGUAGUUUAAAGAAGUGUUUUCUGCUGAAGUUUUGGUAAAAGUUCUUUGGAAUAGGACAUCAUAGAGGGUGAGAAUCCCGUAUUUGGACCAUUAUUUUCAGCUGUGUGAUAGCACUUUCAAAGAGUCGGAUUGUUUGGGAAUGCAGUCCAAAAUGGGUGGUAAAUUUCAUCUAAAGCUAAAUAUUGGCGAGAGACCGAUAGCGAACAAGUACCGUGAGGGAAAGAUGAAAAGAACUUUGAAAAGAGAGUUAAACAGUACGUGAAAUUGUCAAAAGGGAAGCGUUUGACACCAGUGUUGUUUUCCUCGAAAAUCAAUUAAAAAUGGCUCGAUUUUGUAUUGUUGAGACCUUAAAAGCUCACUGUACAUUUUUCGUGUCUUUUUUAAUGCACUUUUCGUUUAACAAGUCAACAUCAGUUUCCUUUUGUCGUAAAAGGGUCAUUGGAAGGUGGCUUUCUUUUCGGAGAAAGUGUUUAUAGCCUUUGGCCUCUGCAAUCGGAGAGACUGAGGUCUGCAGCGUAGACUCUUCGGGGUUAGAUACAUUUGUGCUAAGUUAUAGCUUUUUAUAGACAACUUGUUGACUAUAAUUAGUCUUGUAGCUUACUCGCUUAUGCUAUUUCUACCUACGCUUAGGAUGUUGACGCAUGAGAUAUACGC
rnacentral:rRNA from 1 species